AGUGUCUUUCACACGAAUCAAACCUUUUCAGCAGUCGGAAACAGGAAUUGGGAGUGGAUUUAGAGGUAGCCGUGCUCAUGUGUGAUUCAUAUCUGAUUGUAAAACCUUUUAAUCCUAAUGUGUAUAAAGUGACAAUUCCGUAUCCAUUUUAUGAAGAUAAGCUGGUGGCAAAACACCCAAUUGAAAUGAAUUGAUUCAUGGGACAAGGACAUCAAAGGAGAGUUACAUUAGGGUGGAGAGUGAGACCACUGGAUGAACAUGCCUGCUCCAUUCAUUCAGCCUGAGUGCUGCUGCUGCUGCUGGGGAAGCAGGGUUUGCUGAGAAGGAAGAGGAUGGAUGGAGGGAGGGAGGGAGGGAGGAUGCUGGAGGUGCCUGGGAGAGUGUGGGCCUGUCGCUCCUCUCAACAGGCCAACAAAAGAUAAGAAAAUGGUCCACUGCCAUGGCAAUUAACUGUGAAAAAGCUUUGAGCGACAUGACAUGUUUCAAGCUUCUCUCCUCGUCCACAUCCUCUGCAGCAUGGGGAACGAACCAGACUCAAUCAUUCAUGAACUGUAGAGUCUGCUGUCUUCACACUUUUGAUGCCAUUUCAAUAUGCUUUCCUUUGUUUGAUCAUUCCAUGAGCACAGAAAGUUGCGACAAUAAAGAAAAAAACCCCAAUGAAGGGAUGUGUGCAUGAGGUUCAGUGUAUGUUCAGAGACAUAUUCAAAUGCCACUCAGUUAAUCAGAAAACCAAACUCUUCCCUGUUAGUCAGCCAACGCUCCUGCUGUUCCAACUGGCUAAUAUCAAAUUGACCUUUUACUCUGAUACUGCGGGCCCUUCCUACGUUGCCCCAAUAUUACCCUAAGAAAACAUGAGGGCUCUGCAUUUCAAUGGGCCUGUUUGCCCUUUCUCUAGCCUCACAUUAGCAUUCAGUACAGCCCUC